rnacentral:rRNA from 1 species
GACGAACGCUGGCGGCGUGCUUAACACAUGCAAGUCGAACGGUGAAGCGCCUUCCUUUUUGGUGGGUGUGGAUGAGUGGCGAACGGGUGAGUAACACGUGAGUAACCUGCCCCCUUCUUCUGGAUAACCGCAUGAAAGUGUGGCUAAUACGGGAUAUUCUGGGUCUGUCGCAUGAUGGGUUUGGGAAAGAUAUUGUUUCGGUGGUGGAUGGGCUCGCGGCGUAUCAGCUUGUUGGUGGGGUGAUGGCCUACCAAGGCGGUGACGGGUAGCCGGCCUGAGAGGGUGGACAGUCACACUGGGACUGAGACCCGACCCAGACUCCUACGGGAAGCAGCAGUGGGUAAUAGUGCACAAUGGGCGCAAGCCUGAUGCAGCGACGCCGCGUGAGGGAUGGAGGCCUUCGGGUUGUGAACCUCUUUCGCCAGAGAAGCAGGCCUGCCUCGUUUGUGGGUGGGUUGACGGUAGCUGGAUAAGAAGCGCCGGCUAACUACGU